GUCCCAUUGGGACAUCCGAUAAAAUUGGAAUGAUAUAAAAACGAUUAGCAUAGCUCUUGCGCAAAAUAACACGUAUCAAUCGAGAAAUGAUCUAUUGUUGU